GAGGGUGGAGCUCAGUGGCAGAGCGUGUGCUUAGCAUGCACAAGUCCUGCGUUCAAUCCCCAGCACCUCCA
rnacentral:tRNA from 1 species